rnacentral:rRNA from 1 species
GUGGGGAAUAUUGCGCAAUGGGGGAAACCCUGACGCAGCGACGCCGUGUGAGGGAAGAAGGCUUUCGGGUCGUAAACCUCUGUCAGGAAGGAAGAACCUCCCAAGUCCGAAUAGGGCUUGGGACUGACGGUACUUUCAAAGGAAGCACCGGCUAACUCCGUGCCAGCAGCCGCGGUAACACGGAGGGUGCAAGCGUUAAUCGGAAUUAUUGGGCGUAAAGCGCACGUAGGCUGUAGUGUAAGUCAGGGGUGAAAUCCCACGGCUCAAACGUGGAACUGCCUUUGAUACUGCACAAUUUGAAUCCGGGAGAGGGUGGCGGAAUGCCAGGUGUAGGAGUGAAAUCCGUAGAUAUCUGGAGGAACAUCAGUGGCGAAGGCGGCCGCCUGGACCGGUAUUGACGCUGAGGUGCGAAAGCGUGGGGAGCAAACAGGAUUAGAAACCCUUGUAGUCC